GACGAACGCUGGCGGCGUGCUUAACACAUCCAAGUCGAACGAAGAGCGAUGGAAGCUUGCUUCUAUCAAUCUUAGUGGCGAACGGGUGAGUAACGCGUAAUCAACCUGCCCUUCAGAGGGGGACAACAGUUGGAAACGACUGCUAAUACCGCAUACGAUCUAAUCUCGGCAUCGAGGAAAGAUGAAAGGUGGCCUCUAUUUAUAAGCUAUCACUGAAGGAGGGGAUUGCGUCUGAUUAGCUAGUUGGAGGGGUAACGGCCCACCAAGGCGAUGAUCAGUAGCCGGUCUGAGAGGAUGAACGGCCACAUUGGGACUGAGACACGGCCCAGACUCCUACGGGAGGCAGCAGUGGGGAAUCUUCCGCAAUGGACGAAAGUCUGACGGAGCAACGCCGCGUGAGUGAUGACGGCCUUCGGGUUGUAAAGCUCUGUUAAUCGGGACGAAAGGCCUUCUUGCGAACAGUUAGAAGGAUUGACGGUACCGGAAUAGAAAGCCACGGCUAACUACGUG
rnacentral:rRNA from 1 species